GGGGGUUUGGAGAAGUGGCAAACUCGCACGCCUCCGACCUGUAGGGCCAGCGUGAGAUCACCGGUUCGAACCCGGUAACCCUCG